UUAGCAUCAGUGUGUAGCAUUUAACGUUAGCAUCACAGUGUGUAGCAUUUAGCGUUAGCAUCACAGUGUGUAACAUUUAGCGGUAGCAUCACACUGUGUAGCAUUUAGCGUUGGUAUCACAGUGUGUAGCAUUUAGCGUUAGCAUCACAGUGUGUAGCAUUUAGCAUUAGCAUCACAGUGUGUAGCAUUUAGUAUUAACAUCACAGUGUAUAGCACUAACUCUCAUCCAGUCAGUGUGCUGUUAAACUUCAGAGUUCCAGAUAUUUGUUGUGAAACUCAAAGCUUUGACAUCUUUUAUCUUCUCUAAUGUGUGUUUACACUCUUUACCAUGAUACUCAGGUAGCGCUGUCUGUCUCACACUCAUAUUUUCAGCUCAUCAUCUCGUGAAGUGGAGAUGGAUCAGGACACGGUGAAGGAACAACAUGAGAUCCAGACUGAAGAUCAGAGGUGUGUCUCUGCUAUGGAUCAGGACACGGUGAAGGAACAACAUGAGAUCCAGGCUGAAGAUCAGAGGACCAGGAAGCAGCUCACAUCUGGACCUGGACCCAGCUGUGUGUCCUUUAGAAGUGACCGGUCCAUGGACAGACCCAUUUUCUUCAAAGGAGGUCCAUCUACUGACCCACAGUGAGUCCACAUAAAGAAGGUUGCUGGUUGUCUUCCUGAUGGUCCAGGGGCCUCAUUUAUUGAUCCGUUCAUAGAACUGGUUCUAAAUACGUUCAGACCAAUGAAAUGUAGAAUGUGCACCAGUACAAAAAGAAUCAGUAUUUAUGAAGCGUGUGGACAGAGGUCGUACACACAGCAGUGUUGAUUAAUCCCACCUGUUUUAAAGCUAGCACAUGUUCAGGAUCAUUUACAUUAAGACACGCCUCCAAUUGACCAUUUAUGGUAGCAGCAAUCCUUUUAACCCUCCUAUUAUUCUUGGGGUCAAUUUGACCUCAUUCAAUGUUUAUCACUGAAAAAAUAAUAGACUUUAUUUGAAGAUGAUAGGAGGUUCAGAAUGUGUGAACAGACUUUUUCCAGUGGAUUCUGACCAAAGCUAUAAAUGAAAUCAAGGAGGCUCAGACAGCAGCUGGAUGUGCACUGGGAUGGCUUUAGUACACGUUGUCUGUCGCUCCAACAUUUACAAUCACAGCAUUAAUCACUUACUAUAUUUUGGGGGAGGAGCCACAGAUCAGCGCUAUCUUUAGACGUUCUCCAUCCUCCAAUAGUUGACGAUAAGCCAUGUCAGCACAUUCUAAGUGAUCUUUUCAGCUUGUCCUGUCAACGCUGUGUUUAUAACCUGUUACACCAUUUACUCACACCAUGUACUAUAUUAUUAUAUUAAUAACUUUUAUUAAUUAGAGCAAACAGAACACAUUAGGUUUAACAUAGAUGAACACUCAGACUCUGUGUUUUAUCUGUAGUUUUACUGUGGUCACCGUGGCUCUUGGGUCGUCUUCUGAUCAAGAGGUUGGGGGUUCGAUCCCAGUACCUGACUAUGUGUCGAAGUGUCCUUGGGACACUGCAAGACCUUGCAUGGCAGUCCUGUCCCACUGGUGUGUGAAUGUGAGAGUGAUUGGGUGAAUGAGCUGAUAUGUAAAGUGCUUUGAGACUGUUUCAGUGUGGGGAUAAAGCACUAUAAAUCAAGUCAAUUUACUGUAUGAGGCCAUUAUUGUAACAAAACUAUUUGUGUGUGUGUGUAUUACAAAAGUGUGUAGAAUUAGGAUUUAUAAACAUAGUUGUCUGUGUGUAAUUCAUUCUGUGUGUCUGUAAUCACAUGCAUGUGUCAUCAGACAUUCUCUGUACAUGUGACUUUUGGAAAAUACUUGGAGAAUAGCCAACUUUUAACUUGUAACUCCUGCAAUACCGCUUGAAUCCAGCAGUUGUCGCUGGUACCAAGUGACUGACCCUCCAAUUGGAGGCAUAUAUAUAUUUAUACAUAUAUAUAUAGUGUAGUGUGUAUAUAUAUACCUAUGUCAUAUAACAUAUAAUAUAACUUAUAACAUAUCAUUUAUUAAUAAAAUGCAUUUA
rnacentral:lncRNA from 1 species